rnacentral:rRNA from 1 species
GGACAACCUACCCUAAGGAGGGGGAUAACCCCGGGAAACUGGGGAUAAUACCCCAUAGACUAGAGAAGCUGGAAUGCUCUCAAGUUCAAAGGUCCGCCGCCUUAGGAUGGGUCUGCGGUCGAUUAGGUUGUUGUUGGGGUAACGGCCCAACAAGCCCGUGAUCGAUACGGGUUGUGAGAGCAAGAGCCCGGAGAUGGAUUCUGAGACACGAAUCCAGGCCCUACGGGGCGCAGCAGGCGCGAAAACUUUACAAUGCGGGAAACCGUGAUAAGGGAACCCCGAGUGCCCGUAAAUUCGGGCUGUCCAUCAGCGUAAAUAACUGGUGAAGAAAGGGCCGGGCAAGACCGGUGCCAGCCGCCGCGGUAAUACCGGCGGCUCGAGUGGUGGCCACUAUUACUGGGCUUAAAGCGUCCGUAGCUGGGUUGUUAAGUCUCUUGGGAAACCUACCGGCUCAACCGGCAGGCGUUCAGGAGAAACUGGCAAUCUAGGGACCGGGAGAGGUGAGAGGUACUCCAGGGGUAGGAGUGAAAUCCUGUAAUCCUUGGGGGACCACCUGUGGCGAAGGCGUCUCACUAGAACGGCUCCGGCAGUGAGGGACGAAAGCUGGGGGAGCAAACCGGAUUAGAUACCCGGGUAGUCCCAGCUGUAAACGAUGCGCGUUAGGUGUAUCGGUGACCACGAGUCACCGAGGUGCCGAAGGGAAACCGUGAAACGUGCCGCCUGGGAAGUACGGUCGCAAGGCUGAAACUUAA